rnacentral:rRNA from 1 species
GCCUACAACCAUACCACCCUGAAUGCGCCCGAUCUCGUCUGAUCUCGGAAGCUAAGCAGGGACGAGCCUGGUUAAUACUUGGAUGGGAGACUGCCUGCGAAUGCCAGGUGUUGUAGGCU